rfam:Parcubacteria (Jorgensenbacteria) bacterium GW2011_GWA1_48_11 TY23_C0003, whole genome shotgun sequence.
GCCCGGGUGGCGGAAUUGGCAGACGCGCAGGACUCAAAAUCCUGUGAUCGCAAGGUCAUGUGGGUUCGACUCCCACCUCGGGCA